ACGACCGUACCCUAAACCGACACAGGUGGACAGGUAGAGUAUACUAAGGCGCUUGAGAGAACGAUGCUGAAGGAACUCGGCAAAUUGCCCUCGUAACUUCGGGAGAAGAGGGCCCUAUACUUGGGCAACCAGGUAUAGGGGGCACAGACCAGGGGGUAGCGACUGUUUACUAAAAACAUAGGGCUCUGCGAAGUCGCAAGACGACGUAUAGGG
rnacentral:rRNA from 1 species